UUUACUCGGUCGCGUCCUGGAAAGCGGGCAGGAGAAAGAUUUCCCGGACGGAAUAACUUCUAAAAAUGAUACAAAUGAGUUCGUAAGAGCUUCGGAAACAAAUAUUUCCAAACUGCGGCCUCAGACGCGGGAUCGUGUUGUUCCCUGGAGUUUAUUCAUCCGAUUGAUGUGACGUUCAACUGAAGCCGUCUUCAGUUAUCCUGAAAGAUGCAGCAACAACGUCAACAGGCAGCUGAAUGAUGCCGUCAGGCUGUGAGACUCCUCAACUCCUCCUUCGACGCCAA